CGCCGUAGUAAUCAUUGUUCUUAGGGAUGUCCUUGAAGGUGAAGACGGUCUUGAUCAGGUCGGACUGGAGAGCGCAGGUGAUCUCGCCGUCCUCGAGCUGCUGGAGGACGUGGAGCCAUGUGUCGCGAGUGCAGAGGAAGAAACCGAUCUUGGCUUGGUCGAGAUUGGUGUUGGAGAGGCGGAUCUUGGAGAUGUUGAG
rnacentral:lncRNA from 1 species